ensembl:lncRNA
AGAGAGAGCGCCAGUCCCUGCUGAGAGCCUGGUGUGUCAGAUGAGAUAUGGUCGACAGAGACGAGGGUGUUUGGCUUCGGUGGCCUGGAGGACUUGCAGUGCACAGCAGCAUUCAUACAGGAGACAGGUCUGCUGCUGUCCUUGGCUGGUGUUCAAGUGAUCACUGAGGACAAAACCUACACUAAGCCAAUCAGUAAAAUGUCUGACCUGGGAAAGGAUGUCCAAGUGACUGUGGAAAAAGAAGAUGAGUUGAUUGCACAGUACGUCUGUCAUCAUGAUGAGAGCUGUAUGAAUUCCUUAAACACUGUGGGCCAGCUGACAGAGAAAUCGGGGUAUUUGGUUCUGACCAUGCAGAACAUCAGUCCAUUCGAUCGGUUUGAUGCAUUCAAAUGGGACGAAAAUGGAAAAACAACUCUUCUAAAGAAUUUUACUCUUGAUGAAGUUCUCCCGACCUCUGCAACACCGGAUCUGACAGAUGAAGCACUCAACCCAAGCAUCACUCAGACAGCAAACAGCCAAAGAAAGGAUCCGACAGAGCCACGCAACAUGACUGACACUACUAGAGCACUCAUUGGAGUAGGAGUAGUAGUAGUAGUAGUAGUAGGAGUAGGAGUAGGAGUAGCUCUACUGGCAAGACGAGAUUUAAAAUCUGGACGAGAUGGAAGAAUUGCAAAGGCCAUCGCAUUUUUUAGAAGGGUAAGUACCACAGGAAAAUGGUUGACAUUUGUUGAUUUGUUGUUGUGGACUGCCAAAAACCUUUAUUAUUAGACCUUUAUGAUCCAAUACUUGGAUAAGCGUUCUGAUGUCAUGUGAUGAAUGAACAUGUACACAGAAUACACACACACUGAGUGUCCUGACAUUAAGGACUCUUAAGGAGAUGGACCAAUGAAGCAGAGCGGGAAUUAACGUGCCUGCUUCGACUGCACUGAUUGGAGUGUUUCUGAAGCUGCUGCCACUGAUAUGGAUGAGCUCACAGAGACGGUAACAUCAACCGUUUCUGUGAGGAUAUGCACAUCCCUACCAGGAUCCACUUAACAUACAACAAUGACAAAUCAUGCUUUACAGCAAAACUCAAGACAGCUUCGUCAGGCUAAAGAAGAUGCCUACAGAAGUGGGGACAGAGUCUUAAUCAGGCCAAAAACACACUGACAAAGGAUUGUGUAAGAAAACCUACUCUGAAAAGCUGAAAAACAGUUUUCAGCCAAUGGCCCUGCAUCAGUGUGGAAAGGCCUAAAAGACAUCAAGUCUCUUCCUGCUUUAACUGCUCCACCAUCAUCCCCAUCCCAAAGAAACCCAAAAUCACAGGACUGAAUGACUACAGACCCGUGGCUUUAACAUCUGUGGUCAUGAAGUCAUUUGAGAGACUGGUGUUGACUUAUUUGAAGGACAUCACUGGACCCUUGCUGGACCCCCUGCAGUUUGCUUACCGAGCGAACAGGUCUUUGGAUGAUGCAGUCAACAUGGGAUUAUAUCCUACAACAUCUGGACAGACCAGGGACGUGUGAGAAUCCUAUUUGUGGACUUCAGCUUGGCUUUUAACACCAUCAUCCCUGCUCUUCUCCUGUCCAAAUUCCCCCAUCUCUAUGUUCCUAGCUCUGUCUGUCAAUGGAUCACCAGCUUUCUGAAAGAUAGGCAGCAGCUAGUGAGGCUGUGGACUUUGACACCGCAUUAAAAAAAACAAAGAAAAAAUAUGUGGCUGAAUAAUCCUAAAAGCAGCCGUUCAAAAAAAAGCUUUUAGGCCAUGUGUUUUAACUUCAAGGUCAUCUGUAUUCUGUUAUUAUUAUAUCUUUAGAUGACUCUGUGAGCUGUUUUCAAAGUUCACUGGUUUAACCAACAUGUUUGAAUAGUUGAAUAUAGUAAGGGUAAUAUUUUCUUCAUGACAUUGCAGUUGUUUUGGAAGCAUUUAUAUUCGUCCCCAAUGUUAAAAGGUUUUUAAUAUUGAUUGCUUUUUUUUUUUUUUUUUGACAGAGAUUUUGC